rnacentral:rRNA from 1 species
GAUGAACGCUGGCGGCGUGCCUAAUACAUGCAAGUCGAGCGAACGGACGAGAAGCUUUCUUCUCUGAUGUUAGCGGCGGACGGGUGAGUAACACGUGGAUAACCUACCUAUAAGACUGGGAUAACUUCGGGAAACCGGAGCUAAUACUGGAUAAUAUUUUGAACCGCAUGGUUCAAAAGUGAAAGACGGUCUUGCUGUCACUUAUAGAUGGAUCCGCGUUGCAUUAGCUAGUUGGUAAGGUAACGGCUUACCAAGGCAACGAUGCAUAGCUGACCUGAGAGGAUGAUCGGCCACACUGGAACUGAGACACGGUCCAGACUCCUACGGGAGGCAGCAGUAGGGAAUCUUCCGCAAUGGGCGAAAGCCUGACGGAGCAACGCCGCGUGAGUGAUGAAGGUCUUCGGAUCGUAAAACUCUGUUAUUAGGGAAGAACAGAUGUGUAAGUAACUGUGCACAUCUUGACGGUACCUAAUCAGAAAGCCACGGCUAACUACGUG